GCCUGGGUGGCUCAGUCGGUUGAGCGUCCGACUUCGGCUCAGGUCACGAUCUCACGGUCUGUGGGUUCGAGCCCCGUGUCAGGCU
rnacentral:tRNA from 1 species